GCACCUAAGGAAGAAGCAGCCCGGGGAGUGCCCUCCACAGCAGAGUGGCAGACGGUCACAUCCAGGACCGGAGCUGCUCACAGCGAACAGGUACCAGUUCCUCCAGUCCAACUGAAGAACAGGUACGAGGCCCUGGCGACCCUGCAGGAGAUGGAAGGGGAGGAGGAAACCCUUGGGCAGGAAGAAACACCACAUUCUUCAGCUCUGAACAGGUCAAGAGAUCCAAGCGGACCCAGAGGAGGAGGCGACGAGUGCUCGUCAUAGGCGACUCCAUCCUGAGAGGUACGGAAGGGCCCAUCUGUCGCCAGGACCCCUCAACACGAGAGUGAACGGACGUGGAAGACGGCAUGAGAACUGCAUCAGAGAGACCAACUGGCGGCUUCGGCAGUGGUGUCUCGAGGCAGGCUUCGGCUUCCUGGACAACGACCCGCACAUCACGACAAGGGACAUGCUCACCUGGGAUGGGCUUCACCUGUCCCCCAAAGGUAAGCGUGUGUUUUCUUCUAGGUUGGCGGUUCUCCUCCGGCGGGCUUUAAACUAGGCUCGCCAGGGGGAAGGGAAGAUGAGGGCGGGGGAAGCUGUGGACCACCAAACCAUGUGGCACCCACAAGGACAGCCCAGACUAAAGAAAGAGAACAUUGGGAACCUCCAAGCUGCGGGGCGGCUAGCACUACGGCACAGGUAAGCAACGAGAAGGUAAGAAACAAGGGGUCCCUUGAAACUCAGAGCAGGGGGGCAGCAAAGGCACCAGUCGCAGGGCUCAAGUGCCUAUAUACUAAUGCUAGGAGCAUGGGAAACAAGCAGGAUGAACUAGCGCUCCUGCUUGCACAAAACACCUAUGACUUAGUAGGGCUAACGGAAAACUGGUGGGAUUCGUCCCACGACCGGGCAGUACAUAUUGAGGGUUAUAGAUUGUACAGAAAGGACAGGUCGGGGAAAAAAUGGGGAGGGGUUGCGCUCUAUGUCAGUGAGCAAUAUACGUCAAACCUAAUCAAGACGGAAUCCAAGGAUGAGGAAGUAGAAGGAUUGUGGGUUAGGCUACAUGGGGGGCAAGGAGAAAGGGAUUUGGUGGUAGGGGUCCGCUACAGACCCCCACAUCAAGGGGAAGAAAUAGAUGCGGGGCUCCUGAGGCAGCUCUCGGAGACCAUAAAAGCUAAAGAGGUGGUAGUCAUGGGGGACCUAAACUACCCGGACAUCUGCUGGGAGUCACAGACAGCAAAGUCCCACCGCUCACGCAGGUUUCUGACCUGUGUACAGGAUCUCCACCUGACACAGGAGGUACACGGUCCCACUAGGGGGAAUGCCAUACUGGAUCUGGUAUUGGCAACGGGGAAUGACAUGGUAGGGGACCUACAGAUUGGUAGCCAUCUGGGGGACAGUGAUCACCUAAUAAUAGAAUUCACCAUAAGACGUCGAGUGGGUAAGGUAACUAGUAGGGUGAAAGUGCUAGACUUUAGGAAAGCUGAUCUCAAUGAACUCAGGCGAUUAGUCAAGGACGCAUUGCAGAGUAGGAGUUUUGAAAUGAUGGGAGCCCAAGAAGGGUGGCUGUGCCUUAAGGAAACGAUCCUUUGGGCACAAAGCAAGACGAUCCCCGUGCGGGGUAAAAGAGGGAAAGGGGCCAGGAGGCUUCCCUGGCUGACCGCAGAAAUCCAGGGCAGCCUAAGGGCCAAAAGGGGAACACAUAAAAAGUGGAAACAGGGAGAGAUCACCGAAGACGAAUAUACCUCCUCUGCUCGUGCUUGUAGGGAGGCAGUUAGAUGGGCCAAAGCUACCAUGGAGCUGAGGAUGGCAUCCCAAGUAAAGGACAACAAGAAAUUGUUUUUUAGAUAUAUAGGGAGUAAAAGGAAGGCCCAGGGAGGAAUAGGACCCCUGCUAAAUGGGCAGAAACAAUUGGUGACGGAUAGGAGGGACAAGGCUGAACUCCUCAACGAGUUCUUUGCCUCAGUGUUCCUAAGUGAGGGGCACGACAAGUCUCUCACUGGGGUUGUAGAGAGGCAGCAGCAAGGCACCAGACUUCCAUGUGUAGACCCUGAGAUGGUGCAGGGUCACUUGGAAGAACUGGAUGCCUUUAAGUCGGCAGGCCCGGAUGAGCUCCAUCCGAGGGUGCUGAAGGCACUGGCCGACAUCAUUGCAGAGCCACUGGCAGGAAUAUUUGAAUGCUCGUGGCGCACGGGCCAAGUCCCGGAGGACUAGAAAAGGGCCAAUGUGGUCCCCAUUUUCAAGAAGGGGAGGAAGGAGGACCCAGGCAACUAUAGGCCAGUCAGUCUCACCUCCAUCCUUGGCAAAGUCUUUGAAAAAAUUAUCAGGGCUCACAUAUGCGAGAGCCUGGCAGGACAAAUUAUGCUGAGGGGAAACCAGCACGGGUUCGUGGCAGGCAGAUCGUGCCUGACCAAUCUAAUCUCUUUUUAUGACCAGGUUACAAAACGCCUGGACACAGGAGGAGCGGUGGAUGUCGUAUACUUAGACUUCAGGAAGGCCUUCGAUACGGGUGGAGAAGAUUUGCAGUGCCUAUUGAAGAAGGUAAUCAAAGAUUGUGGCUUAUUAGUGCUCACAUCCCACCUCCCAUGUGAAAUCCUCCCUCCUUGGGUGGAUGAUCAGGCUGUGACUCACUAGCUCAGUGGAAAUCUCAUCUGCAAAACUCAGCAGCUUCCUGCAUUUAAAGGAUAUCAAAAGGACAGUGUCAGGCAUUUUCUGUGGCCCGUGUCCCAUCAGAACACAAUGCACCCAGGUGUUACUACUUCUGCUCUUCCUGUCCUUUCUCUGCCUUCAUUAACCCUGCCUGUACAGCAUUUCCUGAGAGCACUUCCCAUUGCUUCCAAAGAGCCAUGGGGAACAUGAACCUCCUGCCAUCACUACCAUGCCAAGACUUGUCCUGUCUCAGCAUAUUUACCAUUCACUGCUGCUACUUACAUUUCCACCUAGCUUUGCCCCCUCGCUUUCUGGUUGAUAAUGGGAUCAUGAUGUGUAGAUGAGGAGCAGACUGAAUUUAGUGAGAAAAUGUUAGGGUUAUAGGCAUUGGAAAUUGAGCAUGGGGGAUAUGAAACACAAGGAAGGUUAAGAAAGUUGCUACCACAUUGUGGGUACCAGGGGUUAGAACCUGGGGCACACUGCCUGGACAAGUGUCCUAAACACUGGAUUUAAAAAAUGGUAUGACUCUACUACUUUUCCUUCUCUUCCUCCUACAUCCAAAAUUGGUAGUCUUGGCUUAUCUGGAACUUGCACUGAGGGACCUUCCAUCCUGUGCUGAAUAAGAUCAAAACCAAAUAUAAAUGACUACAGUGGAUUCAUUGAGCGAACAUCCUCAGAAGGAUAAAAUUAGUUCCCCAGCAGGAUCUAAAAACCAGUGCAAGCAGCAUGAAAUGUUAUACGGGCUGCUGAAGUUAGGCCAGGUAAGUGCUACGUACCUGCCUGAAGAAGGUUUGGAUUUGGGCUGAGGGUCACAAGUCCCCUUGCUGAAGAGAAGAGGGUGCAGAAGGAGAAGAGUUCUGAGGCCAAUCCUCCAUCUCUGUAUCCGUGUCUCUCUCACUGCCCUGUCUCUCCCAGGGGAGGGAAUCAUCUCUGCACUUUGAGAUCUCAGAG